rnacentral:lncRNA from 1 species
AUGCACGAUUUCUCCUUCGGCUCAGCUUCUCCCCAAACACAGAGUCCUGAUCCCCGCGUGAGGGAGGGAGGCAGCCAGCGCCGGUGCCUUGCUGCACAGCCCCACCGAGAUCCCCACCAGUGCUUCCCCCAGCGAAUCCCCCCGAGGCAAGCGCCAAGAAAAGUCCCCACCACCUGCAUUUUUUGGGCCAGAAAUGUACAGCCUCUGAGGGGCUCGGCGUGUGCAGGAGGAGGAGGAGAAGGAGAAGGAGGAGGAGGAGGCAGCUCCCUGAGAGUGGGACUGUCUUCACGGAGAACUGCUUGCAAGAAACACAUGAUAUUCCAUAGUCUGGUGGCCCUAAAUAUUAGAGGAGAUGGCUCCUAG